rfam:Helianthus annuus linkage group 11, whole genome shotgun sequence.
AGACCAUGAUGUGGGCAUUUCCUUAAUAACUCCUUGAACUUUUCUCAUGUCUCGUACAAAUAUUCCCCGUCCUCUUGAGAGUAUGAGUUAACUUCGUUCAUAAGUUU